rnacentral:rRNA from 2 species
ACGGGGUGCAGCAGGCGCGAAACCUUUGCAAUGUGCGCAAGCACGACAAGGUUAAUCGGAGUGUUUCCUGCUAAAGGAAUCUUUUGUUAGUCGUAAAACCACUGAUGAAUAAGGGGUGGGCAAGUUCUGGUGUCAGCCGCCGCGGUAAAACCAGCACCUCAAGUGGUCAGGAGGAUUAUUGGGCCUAAAGCAUCCGUAGCCGGCUCUGCAAGUUUUCGGUUAAAUCCAUUUGCUUAACAAAUGGGCUGCCGAAAAUACUACAUAGCUAGGGAGUGGGAGAGGUAGACGGUAUUCGGUAGGAAGGGGUAAAAUCCUUUGAUCUAUUGAGGACCACCUAUGGCGAAGGCAGUCUACCAGAACACGUUCGACGGUGAGGGAUGAAAGCUGGGGGAGCAAACCGGAUUAGAUACCCGGGUAGUCCCAGCUGUAAACGAUGCAGACUCGGUGAUGCACUGGCUUGUGGCCAGUGCAGUGCCGCAGGGAAGCCGUUAAGUUUGCCGCCUGGGAAGUACGUACGCAAGUAUGAAACUUAAAGGAAUUGGCGGGGGAGCAC